UACGGAGGGGGCUAGCGUUGUUCGGAAUUACUGGGCGUAAAGCGCGCGUAGGCGGACCUGCAAGUCGGGGGUGAAAGCCCGAGGCUCAACCUCGGAACUGCCUUCGAUACUGCGGGUCUCGAGUCCGGGAGAGGUGAGUGGAAUUCCUAGUGUAGAGGUGAAAUUCGUAGAUAUUGGGAAGAACACCGAUGGCGAAGGCAGCCAUCUGGACCGACACUGACGCUGAGGCGCGAAAGCCAGGGGAGCAAACGGG
rnacentral:rRNA from 1 species